ACUCCUACGGGAGGCAGCAGUGGGGAAUAUUGCACAAUGGGCGCAAGCCUGAUGCAGCCAUGCCGCGUGUAUGAAGAAGGCCUUCGGGUUGUAAAGUACUUUCAGCAGUGAGGAAGGUGGGUAUGUUAAUAGCAUAUUCAUUUGACGUUAGCUGCAGAAGAAGCACCGGCUAACUCCGUGCCAGCAGCCGCGGUAAUACGGAGGGUGCGAGCGUUAAUCGGAAUUACUGGGCGUAAAGCGCAUGCAGGUGGUUUGUUAAGUCAGAUGUGAAAGCCCGGGGCUCAACCUCGGAAUUGCAUUUGAAACUGGACAAACUAGAGUACUGUAGGAGGGGGGUAGAAUUUCAGGUGUAGCGGUAGAAAUGCGUAGAGAUCUGAAGGAAUACCGGUGGACGAAGGCCGGCCCCCGUGGACAGAUACUGACACUCAGAUGACGAAAGCGUGGGGAGACAAACAGGAUUAGACUACCCGUGGUAGGCCUGC
rnacentral:rRNA from 1 species